CCCUUCUCAGGAUUGCACCUGGAGAGUUUCCAGUACUCUACCAGUCUUGGCUAUGGGAAGGAGAGUCAAGCAGAGGCAAAUCCAUUCCACUCCUAGCUUGGGCAGUAGCUAGCGAGUGGAAAGCAAUCGUCUACAAGU
rnacentral:snoRNA from 1 species